rnacentral:lncRNA from 1 species
AGCACUCCCAGCAGCUUCCAACUCAGUGCGGGCAGCAACCCACCAAUCAUCUGCUUCCUCAGACAGCAUAUGCGUACCGAACCUGACCUUCUGGUUAUCGGCACACUCAGUCACUCGGAAGAUCCUCUCGAUCUCCUUCAACCACUUCUGAGCACCAUCUGGAUCGUAUGCUCCCUUGAACAUUGGAGGAUUGUUCUUCUGGAACUCACUCAGUUGACG